rnacentral:rRNA from 1 species
UACGGGGGGGGCAAGCGUUGUUCGGAAUUACUGGGCGUAAAGGGCUCGUAGGUGGCCAACUAAGUCACACGUGAAAUCCCUCGGCUUAACCGGGGAACUGCGUGUGAUACUGGAUGGCUUGAGUUUGGGAGAGGGAUGCGGAAUUCCAGGUGUAGCGGUGAAAUGCGUAGAUAUCUGGAGGAACACCGGUGGCGAAGGCGGCAUCCUGGACCAAUACUGACGCUGAGAUACGAAAGCGUGGGGAGCAAACAGG